AAAAUCAAAUAGUUCAAAUGUUGUUCUAAGUGGGAGGAUCUUACUUUGGGCUGUAAAAAACAGCUGUAGAUUCCGGCACAGAGAUGAUUCAGCCUCGGCUGGCCCACCCUCUCUUCGCAGACAUAAAAGCUACAAAGAUCAAAAAGGCACUUUGCCAGCUGGAUCUCUCGCCUUCCCUUCUUGCCUGAAGGAUAAGGUACCUGUCAGAUGUCUAGACAGAUAAGGUGACCAGGAACUCGGGAGCAGGUUUGUUAAGCUGCUACCAUGAGCAAGGUCCCGCCCAGGAAGUCUUGCUUUCUUGUCUGUCUUUUGUGCAGGAUUUUUGAGCAAACUAAAGUAACAUGGUGUUGUGCAGAAGACUGGCAAGCCAGUGAUCCUUCCUCUGUUGUUUGAGCAAAGUGAUAAGGUUCUCUGCAGAAGUCCAGAAAGCCAGUGAUCCUUCCUCUGUUGUUUAAGCAAAGUAAAUUAAUGAGGUGGUUUGCAGAAGACCAGAAAGCCAGUGAUCCUUCCUCUGUUGUUUUGGCAAAGUGAUAUGGUAGUUUGCAGAAGACUGUCAAGCCAGUGAGAUCCUUCAUCUAUUGUUUGUGCAAAGUGAUAAGGUUCUGUGCAGAAAACCGGAAAGCUAGUGAUCCUUCCUCUGUUGUUUGGGCAAAGUGAUAAGGUGGUGUGCAGAAGACUG